rnacentral:lncRNA from 1 species
GGCAGCGCUGCCCGGCGCCGCCUGCACGGGCAGGGCUCUUCGCCUGACGCAGUGAGGAGCUGCAGCCCUUCUCUUCUCGGAGGCCGGGCUCCAGCGCUGGGAUUUGCUCGGCUCCGGCUGCGUUUCCCUGCCCGCCUCCUGCCCCCGGCCCGCCCGCUUGGAAGGGCGCGGGGAGCCGCAGCCGCGGGUGCGUCCGCCGCCCAUCACCGCGCUUCGGGGCUGGGCGCGCCGCCGAGCGCCGGGAGCCGCCUCCGGAGCAGCUUCAACUAUGAUCAGUGCAUAAAUCUACCUGCAACACAGGAUGUUGGAAAAUUACCGAGAGACAGCAACGUCCUCCCUGCUGCUUGGUGAGAAAAGAAGGAUGCACCUUCAGGUUAGAUACUGGGCUUGGUGAGCACCUCGUGGGAUCCUGAAUGCUGUGUCCAGCGUGCCUCCCAGCCCCUGAGGACAACAACUAGCACACAUCCAGGACUGUGGCUGGGACCAGCAGCGACACACGGGCUCAGAGGUGAGCCGGGGGACCGAGCAGGGACAGCCAAACACACGGAGGCACGGGGAGAUGGGGACCAGCGCCGCGAUGUGCAGCAGAAAGAAAACGAGGAGAAGUACUAUAAAAAACGAGAGGAAGGCUUGUCUCUAAGCCUGAACAACUCCUCUGCACAGGCACUUAACUUCAUGACUCCCUCCUCGAGAUGCCAGAGGCUUGGUGAUGUGGGACCAGCCUCAGCCACCAAGGCCUUGGUAGCAGCCCCUGGCUGCUGGCUGCCGAGUACCGUGGGCACCGAGCUCCGCUUUCUCCACGGACGCUUCCCUCCCGCCUCUGAGCCAUGAGGAGAAGGGAGAGGCAAGCAAAGCUGCCCAAGGAGCACUAGCCCACACCUUCCCAGCCCCUGUCCUGUUCCCCGCUUCCAGCAGACCAGGAGCCCU